GGGAAUUUUGGGCAAUGGGCGAAAGCCUGACCCAGCAACGCUGCGUGAGGGAUGAAGUAUUUCGGUAUGUAAACCUCGAAAGAAUGGGAAGAAUAAAUGACGGUACCAUUUAUAAGCUCCGGCUAACUACGUGCCAGCAGCCGCGGUAAUACGUAGGGAGCAAGCGUUGUUCGGAUUUACUGGGCGUAAAGGGCGCGUAGGCGGCGCGGUAAGUCACUUGUGAAAUCUCUGAGCUUAACUCAGAACGGCCAAGUGAUACUGCUGUGCUAGAGUGCGGAAGAGGCAACCGGAAUUCUUGGUGUAGCGGUGAAAUGCGUAGAUAUCAAGAGGAACACCUGAGGCGAAGGCGGGUUGCUGGGCCGACACUGACGCUGAUGCGCGAAAGCCAG
rnacentral:rRNA from 1 species